UACGUAGGGUGCGAGCGUUAUUCGGAAUUACUGGGCGUAAAGCGUGCGCAGGCGGUUCGUUGUGUCGGUGGUGAAAGCCCCGGGCUUAACCUGGGAAUGGCCAUGGAAACUGGCGAACUGGAGUGUGGCAGAGGGGGGUGGAAUUCCGCGUGUAGCAGUGAAAUGCGUAGAGAUGCGGAGGAACACCGAUGGCGAAGGCAGCCCCCUGGGCUAGCACUGACGCUCAGGCACGAAAGCGUGGGGAGCAAACAGG
rnacentral:rRNA from 1 species